rnacentral:tRNA from 1 species
UCUAAUAUGGCAGAUUAGUGCCAUGGAUUUAAACUCCAUAUAUAAAGUUUAUAACUUUUAUUAGAA